rnacentral:rRNA from 1 species
AUUCCAGCUCCAAUAGCGUAUAUUAAAUUUGUUGCAGUUAAAAAGCUCGUAGUUGAAUCUUUGGUAUAGGUGGCCGACCUUUCACUUUGUGGAUUAUGUGGUAGCCUGUGCCUUUCUUGAGUAAAGUUUGGAUGGCAUUAAUUUGUUGCUCUUACAAUACUCCUCGUUUACUGUGAAGAAAUUAGGGUGUUCAAAGCAGGCGUACGCUGUGAAUACAUUAGCAUGGAAUAAUAGAAUAGGACUUGGGUCUUUUUUUGUUGGUUUACAGACCGAAGUAAUGAUUAAUAGGGACAGUUGGGGAUAUUCGUAUUCCAGUGUCAGAGGUGAAAUUCUUGGAUUUCUGGAAGACGAACUACUGCGAAAGCAUUUAUCAAGGAUGUUUUCAUUAAUCAAGAACGAAAGUUAGGGGAUCGAAGAUGAUUAGAUACCAUCGUAGUC